GAAGUGAUUAUCAUCUCUGUUACAGCUGUCCUUUGGAAUUAGAACAAUCCCUGACAAAACCAACAGUGUGUGUGUGUGUGUGUGUGUGUGUGUGUGUGUGUGUGUGUGUGUGUUAUUUGAGCUUUUUCGAACACACUUUUAAUGACCUCAAAUGGGCAUUAAUGCUCCAGCUGUUAGCACAAUCCUGUUAGCCUUAAGCACAAAGCUUUGACGUGAUUAAUUACCACAAACAAGAUAAAUUAGGUAAUUCCAAAUGUUUCUACAAAUAACAAAAUAUUUCUCCACCUAAGGAAAAGGACUUUAAAGCUUUGCCAGAGAAUUCGAUGUUCAAAUUGAACUCUGGUAUUUGAAGGUUCUUAAUUCUCAAGACUCAGGUUUCACAUUAGCAGUUGUCUUAAAGCUUUCUCUAAUGAAGGUUGAAUCACUGUUGUAAAAACACCUGUAUGUUUAAAGUGAUAUGAAAGUAUCCAUCAAACCAAUUUAAGUCCCCUGUUUAAGUUCUGUGGGAGCACUGCUUCUCUGUUCUAGAUGCAUUCCUUCUUUAGUGACAUUGAGUGUACAGUGAGCAUAUCAAAGCAUUCACUGGACACUGGGGAUGAAGUAGGGAGAAAGCCAGGAGCUGCACCUCUCCUUAUUAUCACUCAGAAUGGUAGCAUCUGCUGAAGAAAGCCCAGGCCUUCACUGGAGACAGGAAAGCAUUCCUUAUUUAGUACUCUCAUGAUAGGUACAGGGGUGGUUGCCAUGAGGAUUAAUGGAAGAAAGGAGUUUGGGAUCAACUCCAAAAGAGGUUCUCUGUCUACAUAGGUGAGGGAUACUUUUGGAUGGACUACUGCUAACCAAGUAAGGAAAUUCCUAGUUAAACUGAUGUAAGAUUUUUCUGCUGAAGGCAUGGCAUGUGGUCAGGUAUUACCUGGAAGACAGGGAGUGGAGGGUAAGGAAUUUGAUUAGAUAUCAGGAUUGAGCACUCUUGUUACAACUGGCCUCUUAAGGACGUGCCCAACGAUGAAGUGUAGCUGGACUCUGAUAAGCAAGUCUUUGUCACAUUCUAGCAGGAGAAUCAAGCAACCAUACAAGACAAUGUAGUGCAAGUAGUGGGUUGCAUGGAAAACUGAAGCCAAGUCAAUGAACCCAGAGAGAAGAGGAAGAGACUGCACAGGCAUUUGUAUUUAGGAUGUGAGAGAAAUGCAGCACUUGAGCAUCGUGUAAAAGAUGACUUAUAUGAAUGCACGAAGGCACUUCUGAAAUGUUAGGGAUGAAUCCAUCUCGGACAGAAGGAACAACAAGUACUCAACACACACGGCACACCAGAGGACCAGUGAGAAAGCUCCUCCAGAGAUUUGACAUGACUAAUUAGUGCAAACGAGAAAGAGGGUGGAGAAGUUCACAGUUAGAAGUGAUGCUCCUGGGGUUGGGGAUUUAGCUCAGUGGUAGAGCGCUUGCCUAGGAAGCGCAAGGCCCUGGGUUCGGUCCCCAGCUCUGCAAAAAAGAAAAAAGAAAAAAAAAAAAGAUGUGAUGCUUCUAGAGACUUUCAAACAGGAGAAUGACGUGAUGAAAUGACUAAUGUAAAGGGUCCUUUGACAUGUUUAUGUGGAAAGUUGUCUAAGGAGAGCAACGGUACAAGAAUCGAUGUAAGACUACUGUAGACUAGAUGAGAGCUGAUGUGGGUUUACUGGGAUGGUCUAGUGCAGAUGAAAGGAGGCAUUAAAGCGCAGUAGGAAGACUAAAGAUAGUACCAUAGGGUCGCUGGUGGUUGGAAGGAAGGUAUAAAGAACACAAAGAGAGGGGCUGGGGAUUUAGCUCAGUGGUAGAGCGCUUGCCUAGGAAGCACAAGGCCCUGGGUUUGGUCCCCAGCUCCGAAAAAAAAGAACCAAAAAAAAAAAAAAAAAAAAAAGAACACAAAGAGAAGAACCAAAAACUCAGAGCUCAGGGGCUUGAACCUAAGGCCUCCUGCAUUCUGGGCGACCUCUCUACAUAGCUCAACUGAAUGGUUUUCCUUUUGGUUUCACAAAAAGAUUAUAAUUUUUUUCUGAAAAAUUUGAGGAGGUGAUGGGCAUCGCUGGAUGAGAAACUUCUGCUUUGACUGUGGUAAGUUUAUGGUGCCUUAUAGGAAUCCAGCAAACCUUGCCAACUGAGUGGUCAACCACAAAAGGGCAAAAUUGGGAGGAAAAGUUUAAUCCCAAAGUGUAAGUACAGGGCCACUUUUCUCACUACUCUGACAAAGUAGCUGAUAACAGCAACUUAAGGAGAGGUUUGUCUUACCUCACAGUUGAGGGUGUGGUUGAUUCUGCAGAAUGGUGAGGCAGCUCAUUACACUGCAUCCACACUCAGGAGGUGUGGAGGUGGGGGUCAGAGGUAGCCUCCCUUUUCCCUUUUCCCUUUUCCAGGACACCAGUCCAUGGAUCGGUGUUACCCACAUUUAAGGGUGAAGAAACCUAUAUCAUGUUGGUAUGCUGAUGAGCAGUAAAGGGAAACCUGCUAAUGUAUAAAAGAAUGAGUAACUGGAGAGCAUAUAGCAAUCAUCUCAGCCUGACAGCCUUCCAGGACUUCAUCUGUCUGCUUUCUAGAAAAUUACACUGCAGUGAAAACCGCAUGUAUUCAGUAAAUUUAAAAACUGAGCUAAGCACUAUGCUAGGUAGAUGGGAAGGACCGACGACACAGUGCAGAACUGUGCGUUAGAGGCUCUUGCUCUCGAUCAGGGAUCAAAUAAUGAGGACCCAAUCCAGUAGAAGCCCCUGUGAGGAAGGAAGUGAGGAGAAUGGAAUUGAGAAAUAAAGAGAAUAAACAGGG